rnacentral:misc_RNA from 1 species
UAGCCAGCAAGAAUGACGCUGCAACA